rnacentral:rRNA from 1 species
AUUGAACGCUGGCGGCAUGCCUAACACAUGCAAGUCGAACGGCAGCACGGGAGCUUGCUCCUGGUGGCGAGUGGCGGACGGGUGAGUAAUGCAUAGGAAUCUGCCCAGUAGCGGGGGACAACUUGGGGAAACUCAAGCUAAUACCGCAUGCGCCCUACGGGGGAAAGCGGGGGACCUUCGGGCCUCGCACUAUUGGAUGAGCCUAUGUCAGAUUAGCUUGUUGGUGGGGUAACGGCCUACCAAGGCGACGAUCUGUAGCUGGUCUGAGAGGACGAUCAGCCACACUGGGACUGAGACACGGCCCAGACUCCUACGGGAGGCAGCAGUGGGGAAUAUUGCACAAUGGGCGAAAGCCUGAUGCAGCAAUGCCGCGUGUGUGAAGAAGGCCUGCGGGUUGUAAAGCACUUUC